rnacentral:rRNA from 1 species
GAUUAACGCUGGCGGCAUGCCUAAUACAUGCAAGUCGAACGAAUCACUUCGGUGGUUAGUGGCGAACGGGUGAGUAAUACGUAAGCAACCUGCCUAUGGGACUGGGAUAACGUUUGGAAACGGACGCUAAUACCGGAUAGGUAGAGAGGAGGCAUCUCUUCUCUAUUAAAGUUUAGAUACACCGAUAGAUGGGCUUACGGCGCAUUAGCUAGUUGGUGAGGUAACGGCUCACCAAGGCGAUGAUGCGUAGCCGGACUGAGAGGUUGAACGGCCACAUUGGGACUGAGAAACGGCCCAAACUCCUACGGGAGGCAGCAGUGAGGAAUAUUGGUCAAUGGACGAGAGUCUGAACCAGCCAAGUAGCGUGAAGGAUGACUGCCCUAUGGGUUGUAAACUUCUUUGUUUGGGAAUAAAGUGAGGGACGUGUCCCUUUUGUAUGUACCAUUCGAAUAAGCAUCGGCUAAUUCCGUG